ACUUAAGUAGCUUAUAUUUAGAGCAUAAUAUUGAAGAUAUUAAGGAAAUAGUUAUAUUUUUAAGUA
rnacentral:tRNA from 1 species